rnacentral:lncRNA from 1 species
AAAGGUUAGGGGGAAUCCAAACUUUUUUUACAUGAGGAUUUUUCAAAAAUAACCCAAAUGGCAGGAGAAAAAAGGUGUUAGAUCAUUUAGAAUAUUAAUUUUAUGGCUAAUUGGUAUUUACUUUUUUAUUAUUUAAAAUGUAUGUUUAGAAAUAUUAGGUAUUGUUUUACUUUUUUUUUAUUUAUAAUUUAAUUUAAUAUUAAGGAAAAAGACGAUUUCUAU